GUGUCAGCAGCCGCGGUAAGACGAACCGUGCGAACGUUGUUCGGAUUCACUGGGCUUAAAGGGCGCGUAGGCGGAUUCCCAAGUCCGGGGUGAAAUCUUUCGGCUCAACCGGAAACGUGCCUUGGAUACUGGGGGUCUUGAGUGAGGUAGGGGCAGGUGGAACUUCCGGUGGAGCGGUGAAAUGCGUAGAUAUCGGAAGGAACGCCGGUGGCGAAAGCGACCUGCUGGACCUCUUCUGACGCUGAGGCGCGAAAGCCAGGGGAGCGAACGGGAUUAGAUACCCGGGUAGUCCC
rnacentral:rRNA from 1 species